UGUUAUUUAAGUUUUCUCUCGUGCCUUCUCUUCGAUUUCAUGCGAUCUCUUCCUUUCUUUUCAUCUGAGUUUAAUAUGUAUAGUACCUUUAAAAUAUAUCUUAAUAUGUAGUAGUUACUACUACUACUCGUUACAAAGUCGACUCUCUGUUGAUUCAAGAUGAUAAUGUAUGACUGCGAGAGAUUUCAUAUGAAUAAAAACAAAUUUAAAAAAGAAGAAAAAAAAAGAAAAUCAUGGAAUAAAAGCAAAAGACGGCGCGCUUCUAAUUACAGAUUCACAACGUCAGCAAAUGUCUGUAACUACUACUGUCUUAGCAGUGACUGACUGUUAAUUUCUUCGAAUAUGAAAUAAUUCGGUAACUUGCUUUUUGGAUGGUGCAAUCAUUAUUUCGUUGUUAUCUUUUCUUCCUUUUAUGAAUAUGUACCGUAACAUUCAAUUAGACACGAAUUAAAGCAAUCAGUUUGAAAUGAUUCACAGAAUUAUUUUUGACAUUGUCGUUAGAAUAUACGAUUUGACUUGUAUUGAUUAUUGAGCGUAACAAUUUCAUUUUUUUUUUUUUGUAAAUUAAUAAUUAAAGAUAUUGUUAAAUUGGAUUAAAUAAAGUUUGUAUUUUUUAUUGAAUGAAAUAAAAAAUUUUAUAUAUAUUAUAUACAAAAAAGAUAAUGAAAGCAAAAGAAAGUAAGUUUCCGAAUUUUUAUUUCGUUUUCCGAGCUUUUAAUCUGAUAUCUAUCGAAGAAUUUUUAAAUUUAUAUAAAAAAUAAUUAUUAUGUAGCGUCAUCCAAUUGCGACGUAACAAAACAAUGAUCAACCAUUGAAAUUUUUUUUAAACUCUUUUACUAAACUCUUUAACUUUUUCAGAAACAUGACGUUGCAUAAAAGAUCGAAGACCGUUUCCUAGACAAGAUUGCCCACUUUACACUUGGAUAGCAGGUCAGUGAAAAAUAAUGGGAUUGUUCUCUGAAAAGAAGAUAAUGAAACAGAAGAGACGACAACGGGUUCUCGUGUCAACGUCGUAUCGCGAUCUUUUGAUCGCGACCGAUAAAACUCGUUUUGAAAAUUUCUAAAUCGUUUUCGACCAUAACCUGAAUAAGACGAUUUAAAUAAAAUCAUCAUAAGAAAAUUAUUUAUAUAUAUAUUAACAGAAGAUCGUAAAAUACGAGAUUUUUGAUUAAUAAAAUUCGAUAUAAAUCGAUUAUCGAUCAAUUGAUAUCUCUAACUUGAAAUUUGUCCAAUGAAGUUGUCUGCUUAAAUGUACAUAUUUCUCGACAAGUUCUAUCAAAGUUUUUUUAAACGAUUACAUGGUUUAUACAUUGUAACGAAGUGUUAACUCUGCACAAAUAUGUUUCCUGGACUAGUCUAUAAGAAAUAAUGAUAUCAUGUAACUUAUGUUACGGUUGUAUGGAUUAACCGUAAAUUGGAAGAUCGAAAUCGUUGAUAAUUAGAUCAUAAAUGUGAUGGUUGAUUUUGUGACGGCAUACGAAAACGAUCAAUCGAUCUCAAGAAGAUGCUUGUCUAUGACAAAUUGCGUUCCAGACGACUCAUCAAGACCUGAUUGAUUCAUUCAUCGCGAUUUCAUCAGUGAUAUUAGCAGCAUGUGAGCAACAUGUUUACCAAUUAUCGUGAAAUUUGCACACUGAGAAUCUUUUCUUUUUUUAUGUACGCGCGCGAUGAGAGUUGUUAAUAAUGAUAUGAAUCAAUGAUAGCGUUGUAAAUCAAUUUUUAAUUGCGAUUCCGACUCAAUCUGUUCUAUCAUUGUGACAGUGUUGCUAAUAUCGCGAAUGAAAUUCGACAGAUAAUACAUUGUUUGUUUGAUUUUAAUAAUUAUCUGUCAAAUUGUACAUGAUAAAAAAAGAAGUCUACGACUGGUUUGAAAUCAUAGUAAUAAUCAUAUAUGCAUAUCGUAAUUCAAAAAAAUCAUUAUAUAUAUAAUCAAACAAAUUUCAAUAAACAUCAUUGUGUUUUCGCUUUUUGAA